AUGAGCGCAAAGGACAACCAUAAGCAGCAGCAGCAGCGUGCCGUGGCGCGGAUGGUGGCGGCGGCCAUGUCGACUCCGUGCUCCAUCAAGCCCCUGCUCGUCGCCAUCCCCCUCGCCCUCGGCUUCGCGCUCGGCAUCGUGGCGACCCUGUCCCUGAUGGGCUCCACGGCGUCGUCGGCUCUACCAGGUGCCGCCCUCGAGCUCUUCUUCCCGUCGCCCCCCGUCAACGUGUCCACCGAGGUGCGCCGCCGGCAGCCACCGCGGCCGGCGCAAGUGCACCCACAGGCGGCACCGGCCGUCUCGCCGCCGGUGGCUCAUGCAGGCAUUAGAAGGCAUGCGGGUCCGCCGCCAGUACAACGACGACAGGCGGCACCAGCAACCGGUGUCUCGUCUCCGCCGUCGCCGCCGGUGGUUGAUGCCGGCAGUGCCAACAAGCGUGCGGCUAUGCCUGUGAAUGUGACCACUACUAAUGAGGGUGGCGAGCGGGCGGUGGUCGACGACGACGACCGGCUGAUGGCGCUGGCGGCGGCGGCGCCGAGGACGGUGCGCGCGGCGGCGGGGUGCGCGCCCAAGGUGGCGUUCCUGUUCCUGGCCAAGUGGGACCUGCCGAUGGCGCCGCUGUGGGAGCGCUUCUUCGAGGGCCACCGCGGGCUAUACUCCGUCUACGUCCACACCGGCCCGGCCUUCAACGCCUCCGCCGCCGCCGCCCCGGACAGCAGCUCCGCCUUCCACCGCCGACACAUUCCCAGCAAGGAGGUAAAAUGGGGCCACAUAAGCAUGGUGGAAGCCGAACGACGUCUCUUGGCGCACGCACUGUUGGACCACUCCAACGCCCGCUUCAUCCUCCUAUCAGAGUCACACGUCCCACUCUUCGACUUCCCCACCGUCUACUCCUACCUCAUCAACUCCACCAAGGUGUACAUGGAGUCCUAUGAUGAGCUGGGCGGGACGGGCCGGGGCCGAUACAAGCGUGGCAUGGCACCCACUAUCAUCCCUUGGCAGUGGCGCAAGGGCUCACAGUGGUUCGAGAUGGACCGUGCCCUUGCCGUCGACGUCGUUGCUGACGACGUCUACUUCCCGGUCUUCAAAAAGUUUUGCAAGCGCAAUUGCUACGCCGACGAGCACUACCUUCCGACGUUCCUCCACAUCCGGCACCCUGAGGCGGCCGCCGGACGAACCGUGACGUGGGUUGACUGGUCCCAUGGCGGCCCCCACCCGUCGAGGUUCACGAGGAUGGAGGUCACGAUGGAUUUCCUGCAGUGGCUUAGGGGCGGGACGACAUGUGAGUACAAUGGGAGGACCACCACCGUCUGCUUCUUGUUCGCGAGGAAGUUCCUGCCCAACUCGCUCACCCGCUUCUUGAGAUUCGCACCGAAGGUGAUGGGCUUUGGCUGA
rnacentral:rRNA from 1 species